UACGUAGGUGACCAGCGUUGUCCGGAUUUACUGGGCGUAAAGAGCGCGCAGGCGGUCGUUCAAGUCGAGUGUGAAAGCCCCCGGCUCAACUGGGGAGGGUCACUCGAUACUGAUCGACUUGAAGGCAGGAGAGGGAAGCGGAAUUCCCGGUGUAGUGGUGAAAUGCGUAGAUAUCGGGAGGAACACCAGUGGCGAAGGCGGCUUCCUGGCCUGUUCUUGACGCUGAGGCGCGAAAGUGUGGGGAUCAAACAGG
rnacentral:rRNA from 1 species